GUUCUCAGCAGUGGUGUAGACCGCUUGAGUUGCAGGCUGGAGGGGUGUGCUCGAGUUCCCACCGAAAAGUCUGUUGUUGUAACGGCAGUCUCCCUCAACACUUAUCUUGUGAUCACUGGAAAUCUUCCAAGGCAUCGGGAACAGCUGGGUGAGGCCGAAGUAACCGCAUAUUGCCAGUCGUCCCCUGUGAAUCGGUGACCACAUAUGAAGAUGCACCUCGACUCGUUGACGGCUUAGCCACUGCAUCAAAGUCUUCCCUGGACAGCCUGGUACAGGCCAAAUCAGACCAAUACAGUGACA
rnacentral:lncRNA from 1 species